CCCUUAGAUGUCUUGGGCUGCACGCGUGCUACAAUAAUCGAUUCAAUGGAAGAGGUGGCUGUAAAGCUACCUAAGUUUUGAAUAUCGAUUGUAGUGGGGCUAAGUACUUUGAAUUUUUUAAUUUCAACGAGGAAUUCCGAGUAAGUCUAGAAAAUUAUUCUGUACUGAUUAAGUCCCUGCCCUUUGUACACACCGCCCGUCGCUCCUACCGAUUGAGCGCUCCGGUGAGCAUGUGGGGGAGAUUACACCUGUAAGCUCGAACAUGUGUGAACCUUGGCGUUUAGAGGAAGGAGAANUCGUAACA
rnacentral:rRNA from 1 species